rnacentral:rRNA from 1 species
AAUGAACGCUGGCGGCAUGGAUUAGGCAUGCAAGUCGAACGAGAAACCCUUCGGGGAAUCUAGUGGCGAAAGGGUGAGUAACGCGUGAGUAACCUGCCUUAAGGUCUGGAAUAGCCCCGCGAAAGUGGGAUUAAUGCCGGAUGUGGCAUUCUACUGCAAAGUAGAAUUGCUAAAGGAGCAAUCCGCCUUUAGAUGGGCUCGCGUCCUAUUAGCUAGUUGGUGGGGUAAUGGCCUACCAAGGCGAUGACAGGUAGGUGGUCUGAGAGGAUGGUCACCCACACUGGGACUGAGACACUGCCCAG